UAAUGCAGAUACUUGCCCCAGAAAAGACAUUUCUGCCAAGAACCCCAACUGAAGCAACACACCUAAACUCGGCAUUAAUUUGCCUCUGAAGUCUGGAUGAUGCCAAGUUCUUCCAGUUUUUGCUGAGCUCUGGCAAAGCUUUGCAGUUUCAUGAGGCAACUUUGAAAUUGCAGAAUGACUACAAACUACUGAUGAAGGAAAUAUUAGUGUCUCAUAAUAUUGAAGCCAUGUGACACUUUUCAUAGA